rnacentral:lncRNA from 1 species
CAGGCUUUGCAUGUGUUGGAAAGUUAUGACAACGUGGUCGAGAUAUGUAGGAUUUGGCGUGGACAGCUGGGGUUUUAGUUUUGUUUGUUGGUGGUUUUGAAGCUGAGAUGGUUGCCAUAGCCAUGAGAGGUAGACGAGUUCGGGAGACGAACAGACGUCACAGCCAUUAGUGAUUUUGCAGUUUGAGAUGGGAACUGUCGUUGAUUUGGAGAAACAUAGAAAAUGGAAUAGUGGAACAGAUUUGUGACCAUGAAGUCAACAUGAGCAUUUGGACACUUGGGAUGUAUAGUGAACUUUUGACAGUUAAUUUUAAACACCCUGAAUAAGAGCAUUGUUUGAUUUUAAUUAACUAUUUAUUUUUGAUUGUGAAAGGUUGAAAUUAAUGUUGUAGAAUUGUCAAUUUAAAAGGGGGAACAUAACUUUGUAAUUUGGUACCAUGAAGCUUUGUUAAACCUGUGUUUUUGUUUAUUUUAUUUUAAUAUAUUUAUAUUAACUC